AGGUAGCGCCUCAUGUAUCACUCCAGGGGGUAGAAGCACGUGUUUCGGCUAGGGGGUCAUCCCGGACUUACCAAAAACCGAUGCAAAACUCCGAAAUACCUGGAAGUGCCGAGCAUGGGAGACACACGGCGGGUGCUAACGUCCGUCGUGAAAAAGGGAAAACAAACCCAGACCGUCAGCUAAAGGUCCCAAAGUCAUGGUUAAGUGGGAAAACGAUGUGGGAAGGCUUAGACAGCUAGGAGGUUGGCUUAGAAAGCAGCCACCCUUUAAAGAAAAGCGUAAAUAGCUCACUAGUCGAGUCGGCCUGCGCGGAAAGAUGUAACGGGGCUCAAACCAUGCACCGAAGCUACGGGUGUCAUCUUUGAUGACGCGGUAGAGGAGCGUUCUGUAAGCCUGUGAAGGUGAGUUGAGAAAGCUUGCUGGAGGUAUCAGAAAGUGCGAAAUGCUGACAUGAGUAACGACAAAUGCGAGUGAAAAACUCGCACGCCGAAAGACCAAGGUUUCCUGCGCAACGUUAAAUCGACGCAGGGUUAGUCGGUCCCUAAAGGCGAGGCUGAAAAAAGCGUAGUCGAUGGAAAAAAACAGGUUAAAUAUUCCUGUACUUCCAGUUAUUGCGAUGGAGGGACGGAGAAAGGUUAGGCCAGCCUGGCGUUGGUUGUCCAGGUUUAAAGGUGGUAGGCUGAAAAUCUUAGGCAAAUCCGGGAUUUCAAGGCCGAGAGCUGAUGACGAGUUGCCUUCAGGCGACGAAGUGGUUGAUACCAUGCUUCCAAAGAAAAAGCUCCUAAAGCUUCAGAUAAACUGGGAAACCGUACCCCAAAAACCGACACAGGUGGUUAGGUAGAGAAAAUACCAAGCGCUUGAGAGAACUCGGGUGAAAGGAAACUAGGCAAAAAUGGCACCGUAACUUCGGGAGAAGGUGCGCCGGCGAGGGUGAAGGACUUGCUCCGUAAAGCCCAUGCCGGUCGAAAGAUACCAGGCCGCUGCGACUGUUUAUUAAAAAAAAACACAGCACUCUGCAAAAACACGAAAGUGGACGUAUAGGGUGUGACGCCUGCCCGGUGCCGGAAAGGUUAAUUGAUGGGGUUAGCGCAAAGCGAAAGCUCUUGAUCGAAGCCCCGGUAAAACGGCGGCCGUAAACUAUAAACGGUCCUAAAGGUAGCGAAAAUUCCUUGUCGGGUAAGUUCCGACCUGCACGAAAUGGCGUAAACGAUGGCGGCGCUGUCUCCACCCGAGACUCAGUGAAAAAUUGAAAAAUCGCUGUGAAAGAUGCAGUGUAUCCGCGGCUAGACGGAAAGACCCCGUGAAACCUUUACUAUAGCUUUGCACUGGACUUUGAAUUUGCUUGUGUAGGAUAGGUGGGAGGCUUUGAAAGUGGGGACGCCAGUUCUCAUGGAGCCAUCCUUGAAAAUACCACCCUGGCAACUUUGAGGUUCUAAACUCAGGUCCGUUAUCCGGAUCGAGGACAGUGUAUGGUGGGUAGUUUGACUGGGGCGGUCUCCUCCCAAAAGAGUAACGGAGGAGUACGAAGGUGCGCUCAGACCGGUCGGAAAUCGGUCGUAGAGUAUAAAGGCAAAAGCGCGCUUGACUGCGAGACAAACACGUCGAGCAGGUACGAAAGUAGGUCUUAGUGA
rnacentral:rRNA from 1 species